ensembl:lncRNA
CGCAGGGUCACCUCGCGGGGCGGUGACCGUCGCCGGCUUUCGAGCACGGCCUCCCGUUGCCCCGAGGGAAGGUCGGUUGGAUGUCCCGAAGAAUUUCUUCUCCGACAGAGCGGCGAUGCGUCGGCUGCCCCAGGAGGCGGGGCGGUCCCCAUCCCUGGUGGCGCGAGACGCGGCACGGGGGGACGUGGGCAGCAUUGGCGGCAGGCGGGCCGUUGGGCUGGAUGACCUUUGAGGUCGCUUCCAACCUCAUGGCUCUCUUUAGACACCCCGGGGGCCAACUCCAUCCUGCACGCUGCUGUCGGCUCUGAGGUCUGAUCGGAGGCCUUCUCCUUUCCCUCGAGGCGCUGCUCGGCCGCUGUGUUGCUGCAGGGGUGCUGCGUGAGCGCAGAGCACAGCCGGCUUUGUCCACCCUGACAGGCUCACCUUUCUUCCUGCCUAGAAACACCGCUGCGGGACUCGGCCCCCCCCCCAGGGAAAGCAGAAGCUCCAGCGCGGGGCUGGGGACUAGAAGAGCCCCGUUAUGUGCUACGGAACAAAGGGAACAUCGAGCGAGAAGCCACCUCGCUUCGCAGAGCACCCCGGCUCCCGCUCCAGCUGCUCCGUGCCGGGGGAGCAGCAGCACUGAGCCCUCCCGGGUCCCGCAGAGCUGCAAAGGAGCACGAGGGGCAGGUGCAGAGAGUGCAGGCGUAAGGAGGAGCCGGCAGCACCGCCGGACCGCAGGUUGUCAGACAGACCCCGCCAUCCCAUAACGUUAGGGUUGCAGAGAUGCAUCAGCAUCACUCCGGACGGCUUCUCUGCCGCCGUAGGCCAACGCUUUGCUCAAGCACGUGAAUGUAACAGACAGAACUCCCCCCUCAACCCGCCGUGCUUUGAAACGCACCCAGCAACACCUGUCCCCAGCAGAGCCAGCCCUGCCCCACGUCGGAGCUGGGUUCCGUCGGGCUGGGUCUGGAGGUGCCGGCCAGCAUCUCUGCACGACAGCGAGCCUGAGAAGCUAAUUAGCGCCCGUUUGCUGCUUUCAGAGAGGAGAUUCUGAGCGCUGGUGGUAAACUCAUUUCAAGGAGUCGCACUCAAUUUGCAGCGAUGGAUGCUCAUCGUGGCUUUGUUCCCUCAUCUACAAAGAGCAGCGCCGCAGAGGGGCUUUGAUGAUCCCUCUCGUUUGGACAGCUGGCAGGGAGCAGGAUGCACGCAGGAAUAGAAGGGCACAGGGGAGCCACGGCGUCCCCUUCACGAGAGCAAACGGAGAGGCUGGGCGUCUGUAAAGUGGGGGAUGUGGGGUUCUAUCCUAGUGAUGCAAUUGGAAAGUGAAAGCUCUCGCACUGCGUGGGAGAGCAGAAAUCCGCUCUGCGUCUUGAAAUAGUUGCACGUGAAGUCCUGCCCUCAACUCGCGACCUGCAACCUGCACGGCAUGGCUCUCGAGAGCCCAUUGUAGGGGCGGUUGUUGCACUGCUGGGCUCCUCCAGCUCUUGGGGUCAGCGUGGCAUCGCACGCCCAGGGACGUCGGCGUCAGGGGGAGCCAAGCCCAGCAUCGUCAGCACAGCUGUCAGGGCCCCGGGUGGGCCCUAAUGAGGCCCCCAGGUGCCACAGGGCUGGGCUGCCCUAGCACAGCUGCGCCUUAUCGGCAGCUCAGGGCAGGGCCCGCCCUCAACGCCUCUUAAACCCCCACCAGAGCUUGCUGGGAUCCACUGGGGGCUGCUGGGAGCUCAGGGGCUCAUUCAGGGCUUGCUGCAGCAUGCUGCCAGGCUCCCACGCUGCUCUCUCUUUUUGGGGAGGGUGCUGGGCUUCUGCUGGGCUUUUUUGGGGUCUGUUUCUGCUGGGCUCCUCUGCUCUUUUGGAGUCAGCGUGGGGUGGCCCUGCUGGGCUCUGGCUGUGUUUUCUUCUUUUUGGUGGUGGUAUGGGAUUGCUGUUGGUGCCCCUGCCCUCUUUGGGUCCAGCACAGGGCUGCUCUUGGCUCCCCUCUGCUCCUUAGAGCCUAUGCAGCACUUUUGCAAAGCAGCUCUCCUAGCCCCUUUGUGGGGUUAGUUAAGGGCAGUUUGCAGGUGCUGCAGCAACGGAGGAGAGCAGAACGGAGCUGUGCCCCUUAGCCCGGAGCUGCUGGGGGUCAGAAGGUUCGCAAGGGGCUGCUUUCAAAACCCCAAAUGCUGGGGAUAUCCAUUUAAUCACGUUUGUUCUCUCUCCUUUUUGUUUCUCUCUUGCAGGGCGAGAGCUCCAGCGAGGAUCAGCCCGCAGUACCGAGCGGCUGUGGCAGCGAUGGGAGCGUGGAGCUGAGUCCCGGGGGUCCGGGAGAGCACGUUCCCUCGUGCCCAGACCUCGGGGGCUCUUUGCUUGCAGCAGGAGGAUCCUUCUGCCCUUCUAUUGGGGUCGAUGCAGUGCUGCUGCUGGGCUCCCCAUCUUCUUUUUCUGGGUUCUACUGGACUCCCCGAGGCUGAGCACAGCCCUGGGGGUGCCCACUGCCCCCCUUGGUUGCAGCAGCAGGGGCGUGCAGGAUGGAACCACGGUUGUCCCCUCCCCAGCCCUAUUGCUGCCGGGAGUAAGAAGCAAUGCCAGGGACAGCUAAGUUGAAAGCAGUGCUUUAAAUCACUUGCUGUGCUUUUAUCUUUUUGAUUUCCCCAAAAAGCUGUUGCAAGGUAAGGCGCUUUGCAGCAGGGAUCAGCCCAGAGAUGCAAGGUUCCCGCUGCACUGGGACUGCAGAGACGAGCACUGGGAUGUGGCGGUGUGAAUCUUUAGUUUUACUCAUGAAUUUUGUUCACAGAACCACAGGAUUGUAGGUGCUGGAAGGGACCUCCGGAGGUAAUGAAGUUAACCCCUCUGCAAACUGCAUCAUAGAGGUGCUCCAGGCCCUGCAUCGUCUUUGUGGCCUUCUGCCGGACUCCUUCCAGGAGAUCCCUCUCUUUGUUUGUACUGAGGAGCCUGGAAUGGGAUGCAGUACUGCAGGUGUGUAGCUCUGCAGCUUGUCCAGGUCCUGUGGAAUGGCAGCACAGCCUUCCGGUGCAUCAGCUGCUCUUCCAAGGUAGAUGACAUUGGCUCUCUCCUCCAUCUGCAUGCCUGGCGAUGCCAUUGUGGAAGACACCGAGGGCCUUGGUUUGUGGGUUCCACUACAGCAGCAGCCCCUCAGAGGAGGUUUGAGGAGCUGUUCUCGCCACAGGGGCAGGGCUGGAGCAAGGUCCUGGUGCAGUCUGUCUAAGGGAGGAAGGCUGCCAGCUGUGCCCUUGUCCCCUGUUGGGGUUGUGGGGUGAUGGAGCUGCUUUCUGCAGAAGGUGCAUGGCGUCCAGGAGGAGCUGAGGGGAUCUGGCAGCCAUUGGAUGUUUUGUGUUCCUGAUGGGAGCAGUGGCUUCUGUGAGCAGUGCCAAUUGUCCAGCUUUCCCAGGGUGUGGAGGAGCAGCAUGAUGGGGGCUCCCUGUGCGAGACCAAGGAUUUAAGCUGCUGCUGCUCGGAGUGGUGUGGUUCCCCUUCUGUCUGCAGUAAGCUUGAGGUGGCAGCAGAAGUGGUAGAUUUCAGAUAAUGUCUGCAGGAGAAGAGAACAUGCUUGAGCUGGAGCUUGAAAUAAUGCUCUUGAGUGGGGAGGCUUGCUGCUUUGCUCUAUCAAAGGAAACAAAAACUAAAUUGAGCAAGGCAACUCAUGAGGUUUGAUGUAAAGACAAAAGAAAUCUGGCACUCACCCUCUAAUGCUUGGAGAUCUGCUCUUCAUCCUCUGCUCCCUCGAAGCUGCUUCAUUUCAGGUACCCUUAUGCAUCUAGAAGAAAGCGAGUAGCUGCAUUGAAGAAUGUUUUCCAAUAUGUACAAGUUUGUACUGAUAUUGAUGGUUAAAUGUUAUUAAUAAAUGGGAAAGAAUAAAUAUUUGUUACAGCUGA